CACCACAUGCCAAGCUGAGAAGGAAAAUGGUGCAUAAAAAAAGAAAAAAAGUAAAAAAAGAAGACUAUGCCAUAGAGAACUGCAGAGGUCAGAUCAUCAAUUGCCUUUACAUAAUGCCAAGCAGGAGUUUUCACUUUGUUCAAGGAAAAUGGAAGGUUACUGAAAUAUUUUAAAUGAGAGAAUAUUAUGAUCAGAUGUGGAAUUUAAUUUACCAGACUAUGAAGCUCUACAGUCCUCACCUUAACUGAGAAUCUGUGGCAUUGUCAGGAACCAUAGAUCUCCACAGGGAACAGAUAAAUCCAUGAAUGAAUCGAUGCUGGAAUCAGGAAUGGAGUCUCACCCCACUCUCUGGAGCAAACAUAAAUCUUCCAAACAAUAAAAUGCAUUGGCCAAAGCUUUUCUUUUGAGAAGACCACAAAGUAAUCAAUAAAUAAAUGAAGACUUAAUAGAAAGAUCUUGGCUUAAACAGAGAGAGGCCAAAUUCUGAAGAGGAAACUGCAUAAUUACGACCACUCCUAAAUGGAGGCAAGAAGAAAUGCUAUAAAUUUCAAAUUCUCAAGUGCUUACCUUUUAAAAGAUGAAGUCACCAAGA